rnacentral:rRNA from 1 species
UACAGAGGGGGCAAGCGUUGUUCGGAAUUACUGGGCGUAAAGGGCGCGUAGGCGGCCUGCUAAGUCGAACGUGAAAUCCCCGGGCUCAACCCGGGAACUGCGUCCGAUACUGGCAGGCUUGAGGCCGGGAGAGGGUAGCGGAAUUCCCAGUGUAGCGGUGAAAUGCGUAGAGAUCAGGAAGAACACCGGUGGCGAAAGCGUUCUGCUAGACCUGUACUGACACUGAGGGACGAAAGCUAGGGGAGCGAAUGGG